UGUCCCCCUAAAAUUCAUAUGUUGAAACCUAACCCCAAUGUGAUAGUUUUAGGAGGUGGGGGCUAUGGAAAAUAAUAGAUGAGGC